rnacentral:rRNA from 1 species
UACGGAGGGAGCUAGCGUUGUUCGGAAUUAUUGGGCGUAAAGAGCUUGUAGGCGGUUUGUCGCGUCUGCUGUGAAAUUUCGGGGCUCAACCCCGAACUUGCAGUGGGUACGGGCAGACUAGAGUGUGGUAGGGGAGACUGGAAUUCCUGGUGUAGCGGUGAAAUGCGCAGAUAUCAGGAGGAACACCGAUGGCGAAGGCAGGUCUCUGGGCCACUACUGACGCUGAGAAGCGAAAGCAUGGGGAGCGAACAGG